rnacentral:rRNA from 1 species
AUGAUCAUUGCUGAACUUGUAAUAUGGGAUAAGCUUAUUAAGGACCAUCCGAGGGUAAAGAAGUUCCAUUCGAAGCCAUUCAUGCUCUUCAAGGCAUUGGCUAUCCUGCAUGAAGGAAGUGUUGCUUCAGGCGAUCUCAACUUUAUAUCAAUUCCGCAAGUGCAUCUAACAAGUGAUGCAAUUUCUCCUAUGGAUUCCUCUAUGAAUGAUGUAAAACCUUUCUCCUCUACCAAUCUUGAAGCUGGGAUGUCGUCUUCUAAUCUGCAAGACCAAGGGCAUCAAGAAGAGAUGAAGCUGAGCAUGCGACAUCAGCCAACUCUGAACAAAAGGGAGUGGAGCCGAUGA